rnacentral:rRNA from 1 species
GACGAACGCUUGCGGCGUGCUUAACACAUGCAAGUCGAACGGAAAGGCCCUGCUUUUGUGGGGUGCUCGAGUGGCGAACGGGUGAGUAACACGUGAGUAACCUGCCCUUGACUUUGGGAUAACUUCAGGAAACUGGGGCUAAUACCGGAUAGGAGCUCCUGCUGCAUGGUGGGGGUUGGAAAGUUUCGGCGGUUGGGGAUGGACUCGCGGCUUAUCAGCUUGUUGGUGGGGUAGUGGCUUACCAAGGCUUUGACGGGUAGCCGGCCUGAGAGGGUGACCGGCCACAUUGGGACUGAGAUACGGCCCAGACUCCUACGGGAGGCAGCAGUGGGGAAUAUUGCACAAUGGGCGGAAGCCUGAUGCAGCAACGCCGCGUGCGGGAUGACGGCCUUCGGGUUGUAAACCGCUUUCGCCUGUGACGAAGCGUGAGUGACGGUAAUGGGUAAAGAAGCACCGGCUAACUACGUGCCAGCAGCCGCGGUGAUACGUAGGGUGCGAGCGUUGUCCGGAUUUAUUGGGCGUAAAGGGCUCGUAGGUGGUUGAUCGCGUCGGAAGUGUAAUCUUGGGGCUUAACCCUGAGCGUGCUUUCGAUACGGGUUGACUUGAGGAAGGUAGGGGAGAAUGGAAUUCCUGGUGGAGCGGUGGAAUGCGCAGAUAUCAGGAGGAACACCAGUGGCGAAGGCGGUUCUCUGGGCCUUUCCUGACGCUGAGGAGCGAAAGCGUGGGGAGCGAACAGGCUUAGAUACCCUGGUAGUCCACGCUGUAAACGGUGGGUACUAGGUGUGGGGUCCAUUCCACGGGUUCCGUGCCGUAGCUAACGCUUUAGGUACCCCGCCUGGGGAGUACGGCCGCAAGGCUAAAACUCAAAGGAAUUGACGGGGCCCCGCACAAGCGGCGGAGCAUGCGGAUUAAUUCGAUGCAACGCGUAGAACCUUACCUGGGUUUGACAUGGAUCGGGAGUGCUCAGAGAUGGGUGUGCCUCUUUUGGGGUCGGUUCACAGGUGGUGCAUGCCUGUCGUCAGCUCGUGUCGUGAGAUGUUGGGUUAAGUCCCGCAACGAGCGCAACCCUUGUUCACUGUUGCCAGCACGUUAUGGUGGGGACUCAGUGGAGACCGCCGGGGUCAACUCGGAGGAAGGUGGGGAUGACGUCAAGUCCUCAUGCCCCUUAUGUCCAGGGCUUCACGCAUGCUACAAUGGCUGGUACAGAGAGUGGCGAGCCUGUGAGGGUGAGCGAAUCUCGGAAAGCCGGUCUCAGUUCGGAUUGGGGUCUGCAACUCGACCUCAUGAAGUCGGAGUCGCUAGUAAUCGCAGAUCAGCAACGCUGCGGUGAAUACGUUCCCGGG